GGGGGCGCGGGGCGACCCCCGGGGGAAGGGGGCGGCCGCCGGGAACCCCCCGCACCCGCCGCCUGGCCGGAGGAGCUAGCGGCGUGACCCCCCCGGGGCGUCGGAAUAAACCGUGUCCUUGCAGAAAAAAGAGCCUGUCUCCAACAGCUCCAGGCGGGGGGGGCGGGGGGCUGCCCCGGGGACCCUGCACCCAGAAUAGUGCCCUGACCCCCAGGGGUGGCAGGAGCGGUUGCUCGGGGACAGUGCCCGGGGCUGAGGGGGCACCUCCGCCGUCACUUUCCGUGUUAACGAGGUUUUCUCUAUUGCCAGGAUUACAGGAAUGGAGCGCUCUCCGCAAUUUAUUUUAAUGAUAAUCGCUAAAUAGCACGGCGUUAGGGAGCACCGGAGCAAUCUGGAGGGGAAGGAGGCGGAGGGGAAGGUGCCGGAGUUGGGUCGUUCCCCACGAUUUGGGUCUGCGAGGUCCAUCGGAAGAAGGGGCCGUGGCACAGCCGAGCUGCACAGGGUGCUGAGCCCCAGCUUAGCUCCCUGCCUUCUGCCCGGUGGGGGCAGGGACCUGGCAGCACAUUUAUCACAGGGCUGUCAUCGCUUUUGAGGAAACGGGCCCAGAGCGCUUCGGAUGUUGUCCUGAAGCCACCCAGUAAGACAGGCAUGGUGUGGCCUUUUGCACUUGGACAGCGUGCUGCUUCACAGUGCAGGCAAUGCUGCAAACAGAAACCCACAGGGAGCUGGACUCAGGGUGAUUUUCGCCCAGAGGUAAACGAUACCUUGAAUUUUCAUUUAUUAAAUUGCAGUCCGUCUUGCUUACAUUGUUUCACAGGCAGAUGUUUACCCUGCUGAAAAGCUAAAAUGUUUUCUCUACUUGCAACAUAAAAGCCCAGGAGUGAGUGUUGUCACUGGAGAUAAUGUUACAGCCUUAGCAAGAUGACACUUAAAAACUUUGUCAGCCUCCAAGAAUUUUGGAAAUAGCAAUGAACGAAGGUAGCAAAUGUUAAUAGCAAGCACUGCUUGCAAGAAGUGCCGUCACAAGCAGCGUUUUCAAGAGCUUCUUUCUGUUUCCAGUUGUCUGAGCUGCACGGCUCAGACCAUUUUUAAAUAAUUAUACUUAACAGUUAGAAAAACCUCCUGCACUAAAAUAAAUUUUAGCUAAGAUGGUUUUAUGCUUUGCGGUCUCAUAUGACACUCAAUCUUUCUCGUGUGACUGUUGUAACAAGUCAAAUUCAUGUAUUUUGAUACCCCGCAUGUGAUAAAGAUACUUGGAUCACUUAAGCCUGUACAAAACUGCAGUGCUCGCAUGUCAUUUAUCUUAAAAUCCUAUUGUAGCUCUCGUGAAAUGCAAUUUCUUCAGCAAAUGGAAAUUUAUACUGACAGGUGUUAUAAAACAUGGAAAAUACUGGGGGAAGGGGGCCCAACAUUUCCUUUAUCUCUUCAGAUAUUCACUAAUGGAUUUAUUUUGCAGCUCGGCCUCGGUUUGUUGCAGGUUACGGAGCUCUGGUGCAAUUAAGGGGACCCAUUUCCAGCCUUCUUAAGCAGAACUUGCAUUACUUGCAACAGGUGAGGAACGUGCACUGCGGCCCCAAGACAGCAAGCUGGUUUGCAGGCUGCAGUUUCCCUACCGGUCCCUAAAGCUGCUUGUAGGAAAUCACUCAGCCUAAAGGAACUCCUGGGAUCCCAGCCUCUACCUUCCCGUUUCAAAACGCAUGGGUAUUUUCUUCACUGAGAUUCACGCUACUUGUUACUGUGGCCGCUGGCUUUGUCUUACGCCCUUGAGUGCUACUAUGCUUUUUAGUGAUGAGAAACCAGCAUUCAAACUCCCCUGAAGCACCAAGCUGUGCUGCUCCUCCCGCAGCUUGCAGAGGGACUUCCCUGAACCUCAGGUACAAAUGCUCCAGCUGUUGGAAAAGCCAGUGGCCAGGAGUGGAACAGCACAAUAUUUAUGUAAGUGGACUACAGGACCAAACUUUAGACAUUGAUUUUAAUGACCUGUUUUCAAGCUCUCUCCCUCAAUUUCCCUGUAAUAUACAAAUACAGCAUUGGUGAUGCUUAGCUAAUAAAAAAAAUAAAUAUCUCUCUAACUUCCAA